CGCGGAGGAGGCGCGGAGGUGGCGGGGUGACUUUCUCGGCCUUGGCGGAGUUUGGUGUCCGCGGCUGGGUUCGCGAAGCCUCGCGUGAGGCCGCCCACGAGAAACAAGAGAUCCCGCGCUGCUCCAGAAGGAUCCAGGUUCGCAUGGAAAGUUUAAGAAAACCUGGUUCUGCCCUUAAGGACUUAGAGGCCAGCGGAGCUUACAAGCUGGGGAAUUAAAAGACAACACUUUGGGUUUUACUGUGUACCCGUGGUUAUUCCUAGCCUGGCCUUGAACCUUGGGGAACCCUGGGAUUGCUGGCGCCUACCACACCUGAAAAUAUUUUACAUAAAAAAUGUUUUAAAU